GCGGGGCCGGUCCGAUUGUGUUCCCGGGCGGGGUGGGGACGGGCUCCCCGCGCUCGGUUCUCGAGAUUACCUGGAGAGCGCUGGCAUUGUCGCCGUCGUCGCUAGCGGCCUGAGAGUCCCAGUCCGACAAGGACGUGUUUGGACUCACGGGGAGGGCGGGGAGUGGUGGAUCUGUGCUUCUGACUCUGAGGUACGGGCCCCGCGGGGUCAGCAGCCCUUUAGCCGAGGGCGGUGCUCGUCGGGUCGGAGAUGGCCGUGGCGUCCAGGAAGCGCCCAGCGAUGUCGCUGUUGUCCUAGGGACGUCGAGGGCGCGGGCGCUUUCAGUGUGUUACACCUUCCAUCUCCAGGAUUUGGGUCAGACAUUGCUACUAUCCAGCAAAGUCUUUCUGUUUCAGCUAGGCUGCCAUAACAAAAUGCCACAGAUGGAGUGGCUUCUUUUCUCACAGUCUGGAGGCUGGAUGUCCAAGAUCAAGUCUUUUUUAGAUGAAAGGCAUGAAGACCGAUUUCCCCAUAGAUAAUGGGUAAAGGACAUAAAGAAAAUGAUAGAAGAACUACAAAUCGACAACAAAUAUGGAAAAACAUCUUUAGCCUCAGUUAAAAUCAAAGAAAUACAAAUUAAAACACUGAAGGUGG